rnacentral:rRNA from 1 species
GACGAACCGAGCGAACGUUAUUCGGAAUCACUGGGCUUAAAGGGCGCGUAGGCGGGCGGCCAAGUCAGGGGUGAAAGCCCCCAGCUCAACUGGGGAAGUGCCUCUGAUACUGGUCAUCUCGAGGGAGAUAGGGGCGUGCGGAACUUCCGGUGGAGCGGUGAAAUGCGUAGAUAUCGGAAGGAACGCCGGUGGCGAAAGCGCGCUGCUGGACCUCUUCUGACGCUGAGGCGCGAAAGCCAGGGGAGCAAACGGG